rnacentral:rRNA from 1 species
UUUUGGUGAGGUGCCUUCCGAGUUCCCUGGAACGGGACGCCACAGAGGGUGAGAGCCCCGUCUGGUUGGACACCGAGCCUCUGUAAAGCUCCUUCGACGAGUCGAGUAGUUUGGGAAUGCUGCUCUAAAUGGGAGGUAUAUGUCUUCUAAAGCUAAAUACCGGCCAGAGACCGAUAGCGCACAAGUAGAGUGAUCGAAAGAUGAAAAGAACUUUGAAAAGAGAGUUAAACAGUACGUGAAAUUGUUGAAAGGGAAGCGCUUGUGACCAGACUUGGGCUUGGUUGAUCAUCCGGGGUUCUCCCCGGUGCACUCUUCCGGCUCAGGCCAGCAUCAGUUCGCCCUGGGGGAUAAAGGCAGCGGGAAUGUGGCUCUCUCCGGGGAGUGUUAUAGCCCGCUGCGUAAUACCCUGUGGC